GACGAACGCUGGCGGCGUGCUUAACACAUGCAAGUCGAACGGAAAGGCCUGCUUUCCCUUGUGGAUUGCGGGUACUCGAGUGGCGAACGGGUGAGUAACACGUGAGUGAUCUGCCCCCAACUUGGGUAUAAGCCUGGGAAACUGGGUCUAAUUCCCGAUAGGACUGCAGGGUGGUGCCUGUGGUGGAAAACGAUUUUCUAGUGGUUGGGGAUGAGCUCGCGGCCUAUCAGCUUGUUGGUGGGGUAAUGGCCUACCAAGGCGGCGACGGGUAGCCGGCCUGAGAGGGUGGACGGCCACAUUGGGACUGAGAUACGGCCCAGACUCCUACGGGAGGCAGAAGUGGGGAAUAGUGCACAAUGGGCGGAAGCCUGAUGCAGCGACGCCGCGUGGGGGAUGACGGCCUUCGGGUUGUAAACUCCUUUCGACCGCGAGGAAGCCACCUGGUUGGAAGGGUGGUGACGGUAGUGGUAGAAGAAGCACCGGCUAACUACGUG
rnacentral:rRNA from 1 species